rnacentral:rRNA from 1 species
UACGUAGGGUGCAAGCGUUAAUCGGAAUUACUGGGCGUCAAGCGUGCGCAGGCGGUUUUGUAAGACUGUCGUGAAAGCCCCGGGCUCAACCUGGGAAUUGCGAUGGAGACUGCAAGGCUUGAAUCUGGCAGAGGGGGGUAGAAUUCCACGUGUAGCAGUGAAAUGCGUAGAGAUGUGGAGGAACACCGAUGGCGAAGGCAGCCCCCUGGG